ACCCCCACAAUAAUUCACACCUUCUCUCUUCAGAUUUCUCUCUCCUCUGCAUGUGUCUUCAUUGCCGAACAGAAGUAUUAAGUGUUAAACUUAAUUUCACAAUUCUCCAUUCAAGUGGUGAGUUUUACAAUGCAGAAUUUUACUUUUACAUUUUCAAUACAAGAAAAAUUGAUAUGAAAUUGGCCAAGAGAAGUUGAUAUAAGCUCCAUUGAAGAGCUGAAUUUUACAAUUGGCCAAGAGAAGUUUAUAUAAGCUCCAUUAAAGUGCUGAAUUUUACAAUUCUGAAUUUAAUUUUUGCAUUUUAAAUUCAAGAAAAAUAGAUACCAAAUUGGCCAAGAGAAGUUCAUACAAGCUCCAUUGAAGUGCUGAAUUUUACAAUUCAAGUUGACACAAUAAAUGACAUCAAAGAAGCAUUUCGUGGUCCAUCGGCUGGUGACGACCAUGGUAAGGAUGCGGGUAGGACAGCACAGCCGCCUGUCGAGGGGGAGGCAGCGGAAGAUGAUAGCCGGACUUUAUGGGAGGUGGGUUACCGGUGCCUCCGGCAACUCUUUCUCUCUCCUCUCUACAGUGCAAAAAUACAAGGGCCCUUCUCGAGCUCAGAACUUAUCCUCAACUGGGCUAUCAAGGACAUUGAAAUAUGACUAAACAAGCAAGGCCUACGACAAAAAAACAAGCAGCUGCUUGUCCUUAAACAAUACCUUAUCCUUAGCUAUAUAUUUAUAUUGCUUUAGUCCUACCAGGGAAAAAUAAAAAGAACGUGCCCUAUAAGGACACUCUUUGCAUGCAAAACAUUAUAUAUAUCUAUGUACUUCGUAAUGCUAGGCUUAAUCUAAAUUUAUGUGCCAUGUAAGAACUCUUUUAUUGAUGAGAUCAAAUAAUAAAUGGCUAUGUAGGCUACUAUACAGCAACACCUUUUGUAA